AUCUUCCGCAAUGGACGUAAGUCUGACGGAGCAACCCCGCGUGAGGGAUGAAUGUCUACGGAUAGUAAACCUCUGUUGUUAGGAAAGAACGAGUAUCGUUCGAAUUGGGCGUUACCUUGAUGAUAGCUUACCAGAACGCCACGGCUAACUACGUGCUAGCAGCCGCGGUAAUACGUAGGUGGCAAGCGUUAUCCGGAAUUAUUGGGCGUAAAGCGAGCGCAGGCGGUUUCUUAAGUAUGAUGUGAAAGCAAUAGGGUCAACCGUGGAGGGUCAUUGGAAACUGGGAAGCUUGAGUGCAGAAGAGGAGAGUGGAAUUCCAUGUGUAGCGGUGAAAUGCGUAGAGAUAUGGAGGAACACAAGUGGCGAAGGCGACUCUCUGGUCUGCAACUGACGCUGAGGCGCGAAAGAGUGGGGAGCGAACA
rnacentral:rRNA from 1 species